AAUUCCGGACGACGCAAGAGCUAAGGCUAUGUGCUUUUGGGAUCGAAUUGCUGCUAGAAUCAAUCUAAUUAGGAAAGUUUUACCAGUUCCUCCUGGCGCAUCGAAGAAGAAGAUUUCUCCAACCCGUUAUUGACAGUUUGCAGUAUUUGAUGAUGAGACUACUGGGCCUCCAGAACAGGAUAAAAAGAGCUGGGAAUAUUUUUUAUCCUGUCCCUGCAAUGAGAACUGGGAUUGUCUGCUUUUGGAGGAUGGCAACGGUGAACUCUAAUUGUAUAUUAUUAAAAUAAUAUGAUUUCCCCCUUUAACAAGCU